CGCGGGACGCGCGGGGAGCGGGAGCACCGGGCAGCUCCCGGAGGGCGCUUUUGUCUCCGUGUCCGCCACUGCAGAGGCGGCAGCGCUCCAUCCCCGGGGCCGAGCACAGCCCCGGCCGCCUUCCGUGCCUGGCGUUUUUUAUUUAUUUAUUUUUUUUAAUCCUUUUUUUUCCCUGUAUGCUCAAAGACAUUUUUUUAUCACUACUGUUAUUUCCUCCACGUUUAAGUGUCGGCAAUAAUCAAGAUGGAUAAGAAAUCAUUUGAAACCGUGCUGGAUGAAAUUAGGAAGGCUGUAUUGACUGAGUACAAAUUAAAAGCUAUUGAAUAUGUUCAUGGAUACUUUUCCAGUGAACAGGUUGUUGAAUUACUGAGAUACUUCUCCUGGGCAGAACCACAGCUUAAGGCAAUAAAGGCUUUACAACAUAAAAUAGUGGCAGUUCCAGCAUCAAAAAUGGUUAAUAUUCUCAACUGCUUCACCUUCAGUAAAGAUAAACUUAUUGCCCUUGAAAUCUUGGCUUCCAACAUUGUUGAUGCUCAGAAUUAUCGCCUGAUUGAAGAUCUAUUCAGAAUUAAUAUGUCAGAGAAGAAAAGAUGCAGACGAAUUCUCGAACAGGCUUCAAAAACAGGUUGUAAGGCUCCUCAUGCUAUGAUAUCAUCCUGUGGCAUGAUUCCUGGCAAUCCUUAUCCCAAGGGCAAGCCAAGCCGCAUAAAUGGAAUUUUUCCAGGAACCCCUAUCAAAAAGGACACAGAAGAAUGUACUAAUGAAGGAAAAGGAAUAGCAGCCCGUAUACUUGGACCAUCCAAACCCGCUCCAUCAACGUACAAUCCACACAAACCAGUUCCAUACCCCAUCCCACCAUGUCGGCCACAUGCAACUAUUGCACCAAGUGCUUACAACAAUGCUGGCUUAGUUCCAAUGGCCAAUGUCAUAGCUCCAGGCUUACCAGCUCCUCCACCAUACACUGCUAAUCAAGUGGUAUCAGAAAAUGAGGACCUUUCCAGCCAGGCAAAACCUUCCCAAAAUCAAGCUUUUUCUGCACAAGCGAAUCAGCUCUUUACUCCUCAUGGUUCUAAUCCUUCAACACCUGCUGCUACUCCAGUCCCUACCCCAUCACCUGUCAAGGCAAUAAGCCAUCCAUUAGCACCUGCAACUCCACUCAUCUCUGGGAUGAACAUGUCUACCCCUGUCCUUCCUGUUUUUCCAGGACAGGUCUCCUCUUCCAUCCAUACAUCUCAGCCAUCCACCCCAACCCCUACUGUCAUCAAAUCCCUUUCAUUGCCUGGUGUUCCUGUCACAUCUGUUCACAGUGCAACCUCUACCCCUAUCCCCUCAGUUUUUUCUGGGCUGGCUUCUAUCCCUGCUGCUAUGCCCACUCCGCAGGGUUCUUCCACUCCAUGUGCCACACCUGCACCCAGUGAAGCUUUUGCAUCUGCUGCUACACCAUUUGCUGGCCUCCCUUUCUCUGCAGCCUCUUCAGUUGCUUCUGCUAAUAAUCCUGCUCCAUUGUCAUCAGUCUUUGCUGGCCUCCCUUUGUCCUUGCCGCCCAAUGCCCAAGGGAUUUCUAGUCCUGUUCCAUCUACAAUUGCUAAUUCUCCUGCCACCACCAUUCCUGGCUCGCUUAGCUUGCCUAACCCAAUUUUGUCUGUCUUAAAGGGAUUUCUGACAUCGAAUGACACUUCAUUAAUCAAUUCAUCUGCUUUACCUUCUGCUGUGACAAGUGAGCUUGCUUCUUUAUCUGCUCUUGCUAAUCAAAGCUCUGAUCCUCCCACUUCCUCUGUCAACAAAUGUUACACUCCAUCAGCCACCCCCAACACACAGCGUUCCUCCACACCUGGGCUGGCUAUUUUUCCAGGUCUUCCAUCCCCAUCUGUAGCCAAUUCUAGUUCCACUCCUCCCACAUUGCCUGCACAGUCACCUUUAACCACUUCACCAUCGAUUAUGCCAGUCAACUGUGGUUCAUCAGCCUCCCUCUUGCAUGGCACAAGUCCUACUAAUCCCGACCAGCAGCUCUCAUCAGCCCCAGCUGCCACAAGUAUCCCAGUUCUGGUCAAAACAGAACCCAUGAGUCCUACCCUGUCGGCCUUCAAAGGUCCUUCUCAUUCAGCCAGCCCUUCUCAUGGCACCCUAGGACUCUCAGGGCUCGGGCGUGCGUACACCUCAGCAGCUUCAGUGCCCGUCAGCUUGCCCAGUUCCCUGAAUCCAGCGCUGUCAGGGCUCUCCUCUUUGAGUGCUCCUCUGAACAACUCCAGUUCUCUGGCUUCCAUUUCCCUCGCCCCACACGGCUCCUCUGCUCCCAUUGCCCCCGUGUUCAAUGGACUUCCUCCUUUCACGUCUCUAACCAGUAACUUUGCCUUUACUGGUAACCCAGCACUGACCCCGCCCGUCACCCUCCCGGGGUCUCUGCUGGCCACCCCGGCUACGAGCGCUGCAGCCGUGCCCGCCCCCCACGCGAGUUCCACCGCCGCCGUGCUCUCAGGACUCGCCGCCUCCGCAGCAGUCUCCGCUCCACCCUUCUCGCUUAACUUGUCCAGUGCUGUCCCUUCCCUUUUUUCUGUUGCCCAGGGACCUCUGGGAUCAUCAAACCCAUCCUUCCCUGGUUUUCCUGUCUCUAACACACCCUCUGUCACUCCUGCUCUCCCUUCUUUCCCUGGCCUCCAGGCAUCUUCUGCAGUAGCAGCAGUUGCACCGUUGCCGGCAGCUGCCACAGCCCCAUCUCCAGCUCCAGUCCUGCCAGGGUUUGCCUCGGCCUUUAGCUCAAACUUCAACUCUGCACUUGUGGCACAGGCUGGCUUGACUUCUGGACUACAGACUCCAGGAAAUGCAGUUUUUCCUGGUCUUUUAUCUCUCCCCGGUAUCCCUGGCUUUCCCCAAAGUGCCGCACAAUCUUCCUUACAGGAAUUGCAGCAUAGUGCAGCUGCACAGUCAGCACUACUACAGGCGCAUUCUGCUUCUGCUCUGGACAACUAUACAGCUCAGCCUGAAGGUUUUGCUAACUAUCCAUCAACACCAGGAACACCAUUUUCAUUGCAGACAAGUCUGCCCCAGAGUGGAUGGCAGUAAAUACCAGGCAUUUCUAAAGACUGCAGUGUUUGCUUGACAGAGCCUGAUCCUAUUCACUUUGAAGGCUGCCUCUGCGAUAGUGGGAGCAUGGUCUGAGCUGGGGAAAGAAAGGGAAAACAGGAGGGUAAAAUGUUUCCAGGAGGCUGUGUCAGAUGUCAAACUUAAUUUGUGAAUUGCAUUCAAUUUGAUUCAGGGUCUGAUCCUGUGAAUUUCUGAGCAUCCUUGACGCUCCUUUAAUUUUAAGAGUUCAGUGUUUGGUUUCUUACAGGAUCAGGAACAUUCAAAUAGGUGUUUGUGUAAAUAGGGCAAUUGACUGUCAAGCUGAGUAGGGAGACCAAGUAUACUUAAUAGUGUGAAUAAGCACCUAUCCUGUUAUGUUUUGUAUGGUAUAUGUGGUUAAUAGAGACUGAGAUCUAGAUUGAAACUAGACAAUUAAAGCUGUAGAUGACCUUUUGUCUAGUAGCACACUUCCUGUGUGUGUACAAAUCAAGGUCAGUUUAUGGUCUUUUCAGAUGUUUUCUUCCUAUGUAUGAGGAUCUCCUGUUAGCAUCAGCAGUAUGUUAAGGGGAGGGUAGGUCAGAGGUAUGUGGGGGUUUUUCUUGUGCUUCAAAAUACUGUCAUGGGCUUGCUGCUGAAUUGAGUACUCCUUUGUCUGAACAAGAAAGAUAGGAAAUGAUGCUGUACUGUAUUUGGUAGAAGUGGAUUAUGUUUUACUGGAGUAUGGUUUAGCUAGCUGACAAUAUGUCUUUCCAAAGUAUAUAAAACCAUUUUAACUUGCCUCUAAAAUAAGGUUCCAUAAUAUUCUCCUUGCCUCCAGUACCCCUCUGAAUGAAUUAAAUAAUUGUACUGCGGAUAGGCUGCCUAUCUGGCACUUUUGACUGCAGACUUAUGUGAAUGUUUACAGACAUGGGGCAAGUUCCUCUCCCUUAUACUCACAAACAAACUGAUUCUCUAUAUGCUUUUCAGCUAUAAACUGCAACUUCAUGGUGCUUAUCUUAUCCUGUGAAUAUAAGUGGGAGAAGAAUUUGGACCAUGGAUUUUUUUAGUAUUUUUCCUUGGAAAACAUACAUGAUUUUAAAGGCAUAUAGCUAAAUUAACUGUUACAAUGCAGCAUAUAGAAAAGUCUUGCUUUGUUAGUGAAAUUGAGUUGUGCACUCUUCUAAUAAUGUUAGUAUCUGUGGCAAUGUGUAACACAUCAUUGAAUAUCUUCUAUUUAAGGUAUGCUCUUGAUCAUGGUCUGGAGACAAUAGAGAUGAAUGAUAUUCAAUCAUGUGACUAAAUUAAAAUGUAGAGAUACUACACUGUAGAAAUGUUCUGCACCUAGAGUUUUACUUUUUUAAAGAUUGAUGAUGCUGGGAGAUGUUGCUAAUGUAUUUUCUUUCAAGAUGUGAACAAACUUUUUUAGAACAUUAAUGGAAAUUGUUGUAUUGGUUUUUAACAUAAUUUUUUAAAAUAAAAAGUUUACAGUCAUGGCAAAAAGGCUUUGAUGACUAUUUGAAUAUUUACCUAAAAUAUGAAUGAAUAAACUUGUUUUUAUUAAGAUACUUCUACUGAUCUUGAUCUUGCUUUAUGACAUUUCUUUUUGAUGCAGAAUUCUGUCCAAAAUUAUAAAAUUUACCUCCUAAGGAGUGUCAUUAGAAAUAUCCUAUUUAAUUUGUAGGUUAAAAACUUAAAUUUUUUGACAUUUUAAUAAUCAAACUUACAUAUUACAUUAAAUCUAAAAAAAAAUAGUGUUCUUACAUUUUUUUAUUUUGUGAAACUUGUUAAAUUCUCAUGAUUCUCCACUCUGAAUUGCUCUUAAAAUUGAUAUCUUGGAUAUUGAUAUCUUGGCUUAAGAAAUCUGUGGAAGAGGUCUCUACCAUCUUUCACUUUAUUCUGCUUGUCAUUCUUUCCAUAACUUGUUCUUUUUAGAGUUGCAGAUGAGUUGGAGAAAAUAAAGAUACAGGUAUCUUAUCAACAGCAAAUUGCUCAGUAAUGUUACUGAGGUGCUGAGUCUGACAUCCUAUUUUAAUCCUAGUUUCCCCAUCAAGCAAUCAAAGUUUGAACUGAUUCACGCCACCUUGUAGUCAAAAGCAAAUAAUACUGUUUUGUCAGAAUGUAAGCACUUUGUGCCUCUGUUUGUAAAAAUAUUUGUUGAAUGGUCAUGGGGUAUGGGGUUCCUGUCUGAGCACUGGACAACUCAGAGAUGCUGAAGAGACUGAAGCCUUGUUUCUCCAAAUGAAAACAGGAAUAGAGUCUGUGUUCUGCAUUGCAGCAAAGUGUUGUGACCCAACCUUGGAAUUUCUGAGAGGAGUGAUUUGUCCUGCGUUCCUUCAUGCUUACUUGAGCACCGGUUUUAGACAGCCAAGGAAAUGUCUGCUCUGAGGCAAACCACCUUAAACUGAGCCUGUGCCAGGAAAGGGCUCUUCCUACAUGACUUUAAUUCUGGACUAACUGAUUUUUUUCACUGUUCAAGUUGUCUAUUAUUGCUCUAUUUUGUGUGUACUGAUGGCCUGCAUAGAUACGGUGUGGUGAAUGUUCCUUGAAAUAAAACCUUUUUUGCAACAACCAAGAA